rnacentral:rRNA from 1 species
UACGUAGGGUGCGAGCGUUGUCCGGAUUUAUUGGGCGUAAAGAGCUCGUAGGUGGUUUGUCGCGUUGUUCGUGAAAACUCACAGCUUAACUGUGGGCGUGCGGGCGAUACGGGCAGACUUGAGUACUGCAGGGGAGACUGGAAUUCCUGGUGUAGCGGUGGAAUGCGCAGAUAUCAGGAGGAACACCGGUGGCGAAGGCGGUUCUCUGGGCAUGUCCUGACGCUGAGGAGCGAAAGUGUGGGGAGCGAACAGG